AUGCCCCGCAGUAAAAAAGAAAGUAAACCGCCCGCCCGCACGACCUCCUCCUCCUCCUCCCGCAGCCGCGCCGUUCGCCUCCCGCAGCCGCGCCCUUCACCGCCUCCUCGCGCCGCCGGAGCCACGGGAAGCGGCCGCGGGUCGCCGGGAGCCUCCCCGACCGCGGGAGCCCGCCCCGCUCCCGCCGCGGCUCGCCGGGAGCCUCCCCUGCCGCCGAAGCCGCCCCGCCGCAGCUUGGCCUCCGCCACUCCGCCACUCCGCCGGAGCGAGUCUCUCUCCUCUUCUCUUGGGAUGGGACGCCUUCUCUCCUCUGCUCCCAGCCGGAUCCAAUCCACCUCGCCCCGGCAUGCAGCCACGGAAGGCCAGGUCCGUGCGCCUCUUUCCCAUGGCCAUGGAGUCGCCGCAGCCGCCAUGGAAUGCCUGAAUGUCGUCAAGAUGCACGCAGGUGCAGCACCUACACCGAUGGCUGCUCUUGAGACACAGACAACAUAGGAGAGGACAAGUCCAGAAUUGCUAGACUGAAUCUAUCCAUCUGCUCUGCUCUCGGGACAACAGAGGAGAGGACGAGUCCAGAAUUGCUUGACUGAAUCUAUCCAUCUGCUCAGCUCAGUUCAUGCAGAGGCUAGAGACAUAGCAAUCGUCAGGCUUCAGUUUUGUACUGACCACUCCAAGGCUUGUUCAACCUGGUGAAUCUUUCCUUCAUCUGCAUCAUUUUUCGCUUCAGUCUGUACAUCCUCGCCCUCCGCACAUCCUCGCCCUCCGCCCACCGAUCCUAUUCUCCGCCGCCCGCCUUCCUCUGCUCCUCCUCUGCCGCCGCCGAUCUCAUCCGAGCCAGUACAAAUAUUGCCACUCAUCAACAUCUGCAGCAUCUAAGUGAAGUGAUUAUGUGGAUCUUGUGAGGAAAACAGAUAGGCCAAGAAGCCUGGGAGGUUGUCUACAGUCACUGGCCUGGUAUGUGACCUGCUUGCAUCUUCUAAAUUAUCUUCUAAAUUAGUAUGAAUUUUUUCUGCUCAAAAACAGUUUUCUAUGAUAUUUGUAAUUUCCACGUUUCGAUUGAGCUUCUUACGAUCUAUCAGUAAGGCCUCUCAGGUUUUAGAUUUAUGAUUAGAUCGUUGCAUAUAAGCCAAAAUGAGUCUAUGAUAAGGGAAAUAAACUGGCUACGCUUACCGUAUGGAUGAAACUGAAGAGUGAAGUGAUAUUUCUUUCUACCAUUGCAUAGCUUUACCAUCACCGAUCCAUGUUAAGUGUGAUUUGUUUCUCUGUACAUUAUUCGGAUACAAAGGAUUCGAGCUGAAAAGAAGAUGCAGUGGAGAACAUUAUCACAAGUUAGCAUUUCCUGUGAAACGAAGACCAUUAUAUAGAACAUUGAUUAAUUUGUAAAAAAAUGCUGAUAGCCAAAGGUUAAUGCUGAUAGACCAUUAUAUAUAAACACUUGAAAUAAUUCAGUUAUGGUUUCUAUCAA